AUGGAGUCUCAGAUCCCGCCAUUUCUUGGAGGGAAACGAAGGAGCAGGAGCCGGCGAUUCCAUCGAAUACGUGCUAUCUUCCAGAAAGGGUAUUCCAAUUUCUCUGUUGCAUCAAACGAAAUGGAUGGAGUGUUUUUGUGGGUACUUCUCUGUAUGACGAUGUCCACCAAGAUUACUGCUGUGCUCGAAGGCUACAUGCACUGUUGGUCGUGUGAAGAUUUUUGCAGACGUUCAGGUUCGUCAGGAUGCCGUCUGCCCGGCAAUCAUUGAAGUAUGGAGUCAUUUUUCAAACCUAACAGCACAGUUUUUCACUUUCCGAUGAGCAUCUCGAUGCUGGCGUUGCACUCUUGCUUUGACUGGCUGCUGUAGAUGCCUUUCAACCUUGAUCGUACCGGUAAAGCACUAAACAUUCAUUUCCUAUCUUUUUAGUUAUAUGUUGGUAUUUUAUUCAAGUUUAUAUGCGGGAAUCGAGCAAUCUAAGCUUAAACCAUUGCUUAAUUCGUGAAGAAUAGAGUCCACAAGGAUUUUUCUAGUGUUCAGACUGAACUAUUAAUUAAAUGGGGGCACGAUGCCCACCAAAACUCCAGGACUUCAAUAUAUAUGUAUACUCGUGCCAUGCUUUAAGUCAAAGCAUCAGUAUUCACAUCCACUAGCAAGUAGAUCACAGGGUCAGCUGCAGUAUCUGAAUCUUUACUCCAG